rnacentral:rRNA from 1 species
AUGGAGGUGGUGAGUGCUUCCCACGGCGUCUUGGGUCCCCUGCUGGGGAAGCUCACCGGUUUGCUCGCCGGUGAGUGUGCCCGCCUCAAAGGCGUCCGGCGUGAGAUCCGCUCGCUCAAAUCCGAGCUGACCUGCAUGCAUGGCGCGGUCGAGAAGUACACAAUGAUGCAAGAUCCCGAUGUUCAGGUUAAGAAGUGGAUGUCGCUGCUGAGAGAGCUGACCUAUGACAUCGAGGAUGUCAUCGACAAGUUCAUCCAUCAGCUCGGCACUCCCGGCCACCAGCAAAAGGGUGGCUUCAAGGAGUUCUUCCGCAAGACUGCUCGCCGGCUCAAGACUCUGGGCUCUCGCCGUGGAAUCGCCAACCAAAUCAAUGAUCUGAAGAUUCGUCUCGAGCAGGUAAAAGAGUUGAAAAGUAGUUACAAGUUGGAUGAUAUUUCCUGUCAGCAUUCAUCUGUGGAUCCCCGCUUGUCUGCUUUGUUUGUUGAGGAAGCACAUCUCGUGGGCACUGAUGGUCCAAGGGAUGAUCUUGCCAAUUGGAUGCUCGAAGAUGAAAAAGGCUCGACCAAGCGUCGCAAGGUGCUGUCCAUUGUUGGCUUCGGUGGGUUGGGAAAAACGACACUGGCGAGGAAGGUCUACCGCAAGAUCCAAGGGCAUUUUCAUUGUCAGGCUUUUGUCUCGGUUUCGCAAAAGCCUAAUGUAAAGAAAAUUAUGAGGGAUUUCAUCUCCCAGCUACCUUGCGAGGAAGAUUUUAUGGAAGGUAUCGACACUUGGGAUGAACCCAAAUGUAUUGGGAAGCUAAAAGAACUCUUACAAGAUAAGAGGUAUCUCAUCGUUAUUGAUGAUAUAUGGUCGAUAUCAGCAUGGAACGCUAUCAAGUAUGCUUUCCCAGAGAAUAAUUUUUGUAGCAGAAUUAUAGCUACUACACGCAUUGUUGAUGUAGCAAGAUCAUGUUGUCUAGAUGGUAAUGGCCGCAUGUAUGAAAUGGAAGCCCUAAGUGAUCUGCACUCCAAAAGAUUGUUUUUUAGAAGAAUAUUUGGUUCCGAGAACCGUUGCCCUGAUGUGCUAAAACAAGUGUCAAACAAAAUAUUGAAGAAAUGUGGAGGCCUCCCAUUGGCAAUUAUCAGUAUAUCAAGUUUAUUGGUAACAAAACCGGUGAUCAAAGAUGAGUGGGAGAGGGUCAGAAGGUCUAUUGGUUCUGCAUUGGACAAAAAUCGAAGCUUAGAUGGAAUGAAUAACAUAUUAUCCCUUAGUUACAAUAAUCUUUCACCCAAUCUCAAGACCUGCUUGUUAUAUUUAUGUAUAUAUCCUGAGGAUUAUGUGAUUGAGAGAGAUAUUUUAGUGAGGCGAUGGAUAGCAGAAGGCUUCAUCUCUGAAGAGCGCGGACAAAGCAAGCAAGAGGUUGCCGAGAACCACUUCUAUGAGCUAAUAAACAAAAGUAUGGUCCAGCCAAUUGAAAUUGGCUAUGAUGGAAAGGCUCGUGCUUGUCAAGUCCAUGACAUGAUGCUGGAGCUCAUUAUUUCAAAAUCGGUUGAAGAUAAUUUCAUCUCUUUGGCAGGCCAUGGUCACACUGAUUUGGCAAAGCGUGAUGGUCUUAUUCGGCGACUAUCAGUCCAGCAUAUUGACCAAGAGCUUGCAUCCACAUUGGCAAAUGAAGAUCUAAGCCACAUACGAUCUCUGACAGUUAUAGCAUCAAAUUGCAUCAAACAAUUGCCUAGGCUUGUUCGGUUUGAAGCUUUGCGUGUCCUAGAAUUUCAAGAUUGUAAGAAUUUGCAUGAAUAUGAUAUGAAUGGUCUAGAUAAACUAUUCCAGCUGAAGUACCUGAGCUUUAGGGGUACUGGCAUGUCAAAGCUACCAUCAGGAAUUGUGAGGCUAUAUGGUCUAGAGACGCUAGAUCUUAGAAAUACACAUAUAGAAGAAUUGCCUACUGGAAUUAUUCAGCUCGUAAAACUACAACAUCUACUCAUUACAAGAUGCUUUUUCCGUGAUCCUUACGGUGAAGCAAAGAUACCAAAUGGUAUUGGAAAUAUGAGGAAUUUACAUGUGAUCUCGGGCUUUAAUAUUAUGAAGAGUUCACUAUGUGCAGUCAAGGAAUUGGGGAAUCUGGCCUGUUUGAAAGAAGUGCAUCUACAGUUGGAUGGUCGAGGAUCUCAGGAAUACAAGAGGCAUGAAGAGAUGUUGCUCUUCUCACUAUGCAAGCUUGGCACAUGCAAACUUCAGUCUUUACGGAUAUUCUGUCCUGAUUCAGCACCCACCCAGUUCUUAGAUUCUUGGUCCCCUCUGCCAUAUAAUCUCCAAAUAUUUUGGGUGACCACUGGCUACUAUUUACCAAAGAUGCCAAAGUGGAUUGUACCAGCACUCACCAAUCUUGCAUACCUGAACAUUAAUUUGAUUGAAGCAACAAAGGAGGAUCUGUGGCUACUUGGAGAGAUGCCUGCUUUACUUCGACUGAGUAUAACAUUCAGGACUGUCCAAAAAGAAAGGCUUACCGUACAAGGUGCUGCAUUCCUGUGUUUGAAGGAAUUCAACCUUAUCCGUACUUUCCGUUGUGCAAGUGCAAUUUACUUGACAUUUGAAGAAGGGGCACUGCCAAAGCUGGAGAAGCUUGAGCUGCCGUUGUUUGUUUCAGUGGCAGAAGCCUAUGGGUUCUACUUGGGACUUGGCCACCUCCCAUGUCUGAGAGAUGCCCAAGUUACUCUUUGCAAUGAUGUUGCCACAUCUUCCGAAAUCAAGUCUGCUGCAGCCGCCUCUAUAAGGAAUGAGGCAAAUGGGCAUCCCAAUCAUCCUAGGUUAUCUAUCCAGGACAGAACGGAAGAUACCUACUUUGACGAGGAAUGGACCUAG